GAUGAACGCUGGCGGCGUGCUUAACACAUGCAAGUCGAACGAAGCACCUUAUUCUGAUUUCUUCGGAAUGAAAAAUUUGGUGACUGAGUGGCGGACGGGUGAGUAACGCGUGGGUAACCUGCCUCAUACAGGGGGAUAACAGUUAGAAAUGACUGCUAAUACCGCAUAAGAACACAGCACCGCAUGGUGCAGGGGUAAAAACUCCGGUGGUAUGAGAUGGACCCGCGUCUGAUUAGGUAGUUGGUGGGGUAACGGCCUACCAAGCCGACGAUCAGUAGCCGACCUGAGAGGGUGACCGGCCACAUCGGGACUGAGACACGGCCCAAACUCCUACGGGAGGCAGCAGUGGGGAAUAUUGCACAAUGGGGGAAACCCUGAUGCAGCGACGCCGCGUGAGCGAUGAAGUAUUUCGGUAUGUAAAGCUCUAUCAGCAGGGAAGAAAAUGACGGUACCUGACUAAGAAGCACCGGCUAAAUACGUGCCAGCCGCCGCCGUAA
rnacentral:rRNA from 1 species